CAGUCGCCGCGGUAAGACAGAGGAUGCAAGCGUUAAUCGGAUUUACUGGGCGUAAAGCGUGCGUAGGCGGCUUCUUAAGUCGGAUGUGAAAUCCCUGAGCUUAACUUAGGAAUUGCAUUCGAUACUGGGAAGCUAGAGUAUGGGAGAGGAUGGUAGAAUUCCAGGUGUAGCGGUGAAAUGCGUAGAGAUCUGGAGGAAUACCGAUGGCGAAGGCAGCCAUCUGGCCUAAUACUGACGCUGAGGUACGAAAGCAUGGGGAGCAAACAGGAUUAGAUACCCCCGUAGUCCCUGUCUCUUAUAC
rnacentral:rRNA from 1 species